GGAGCAGCAAGUUGACGUGGGCGGCGGAGGGUUGGGGGGGGUCACUGCUGGUUUGCAUGCCAUCAAACCUGAAGCUGGCAUGUUGCAAAUGCUUUGAGCAUCAGUUGUAGCGAUCGCCAUAACCAUUAUCAUUGCCAAUAUAAGUGCCUGCAGGCCCUUCAUUUUCUCCAUUACUUUUUUUAUGAUAUGGCGGAGCUAAGCUACCCAAAGAUUGUUAUUUAUAGAGGAAUGAAUAGGCAAAAGUUUGGUGUAGAGUAGUCCGUGAACCCUUAAUAUGCUUUGGGUCCUGUCGGGUUUUGAGAUUAUUGUUCAACCAAACUUUAGUCUCACGGUGGAAAAUCAAAGAAGCUUUUCUUUUGGAUGUUCUAAUCCAAUUCCAUUAUCAACGUAUCUCAUCACUUGAAACAUCCUAAUUGUGACCACAGAUCCAUUUUCGACCUUUAUUGUCAAUGCAAAUAAUAUUCAAAUCACCUAAAUUGUUGAGAUAGUUAUGAAAACAGUGCCACAGUAGUUACAACUAUAUUUAUUAUUGUGUAAUCUCCAUAACUUGUCUUAUUUAGAAUCUUUUGAAACAAAAUAGUUAGGUCAUAAAUCUUGCCAAUACUUUGGACAUGUAUUGAUCCAUCAUUGAAGAUUGAUCCAUGUAAAGAAACAAAACUUAAAAUUAGAUCAAAUCAAAUCAUGCUUAAACUACUCAAAUUUGGAAAAAAGUAAGUUGUAGCUAGGGAUGUAAUAGAGCCAAGAUAAAUCUGAAUGUGGUAGCUCAAGUUGAAGCUCGACUAAGCUCAUUAAUCAAUUUUCAUACUCGAGCAUGAUUAAUCUCGUUCAUAUUCAAGCUUGAGCUUGUUCAUAAACUCUUUUUAUAUAAUAAGGGUAAAAAUGUAAUUCCAUGAUAUAAUAUAUAUUAAAACAAAAAGUUGAAUUAGCCUCGCAAGUCGUUCAAAUCAAGUAUUGUGGUCCUCAAAUUCAACUCUGCCAAUAUCUUGAGCUUGACUUGAUAAUUAUUAGAUCGAAUUUAACUUUUUUUGAGUUGAACUUUAAUAACUCGUGUUCACAAAUAUCUCAUUUACCCAUCUACUUUAGCAACAAGUUAUGAGACAAGAAAUUCCACUCUUUUAAGAAGGCUUUCAGUCAAUCUCAAAGGAUUAUUGUAGAAAUUGUGGAAAGAAAAGGGCGAGUUAGUACAAAGUGCUCCAAUAUUGUUGGUCAUAUUUUGAGUAGUCUUGUGAUGCGUAGAUGAAUAUAAUGAAUUAGGUAGCCCUGUAAGGGACGACAAUUAGUAAAAAGUAUGUUCGAUGCAGCUUCAAGGUUUCUUGUACCUCAACUUGGAAGCUCUGAGCCUCUUUUUGUUGAUAGCUUCAAUCUCUACCAUCGCAUCAUAGUAGUCUUCAAAUGCUUUCUUCUUGUCGGGGAUCGCCACGUUUUGCUCUCAAUCCUAGAGGACAAGUGUUGUUUUCAAGGAGGAGGUAUUGUUACGUGCACAACUGAGUUAGAAAACAAUGUGAUAUGUAUAUAUUAUUGAAACGGUGUGCUUAAGUUACUACAUAAUUAUAUUAAGGUGCACGGGUUUUAAAAGACUUUAGUAAAAAAAUUAAAAAAAUCAACUCAUCCAAUUAUAUCAUGUGGAAAAAAAAAAUUAGGUUUUUGUUGUUGACUGAUUUGAAUGGUAUUAAAUAUUGACAUAAUUGAUGAAAAUUAACACCUAACAUAUGUCAUGUGGGCUAGUUGUUAAUGUGGCAUAUCACAUGGAUAAGUUGUUGAUGUGACAUACCGUGUCAACAUAUUUUUUUAAAAAUAAAAACAUUCUAAAAAUUAUAGAAAAACAAAAACAUUGACGUCAAGAAUAAACGUGUACGAUUAUUUAUUCAUAUUAAUUCUAGAUUUAAAUUUUAAAUAAUCUAAAAAUUAUUAAAAAUGGUAAAUAUAUAAAUAAAUGUAAAUAAUUAUUAAAAAUCUAAAAAUUUAAGAUUUAUAAAAAAUAUAUAUUAAAAUAUAAAAAAGAAUUACUAAGAAUUCACGUCCAAAAUGUUAUCUAGGUUUAUUAUAACCAUUUGCCCAUGUUUCAAAUAUUAUAAAAAAAUAUUAAAAUGGUAAAAGUAUAUAAAAAUUAUUUAAAAAUAUAAUUUUUUUAAAAAAUAAUUAUUGAAAAGUAUCAUUUAAAAGUACCGUAACCGUAGCCCUAAAUCUAACGUUUGAAAUCAUAAUUUGUUUUUACGAAUUUCGGAUAAAACCCCUUAAAGCUAUUUCCAAGAAAAUAUGGUGCCCUCAUAAAUUUAUAAGUCGAUUUAAUAUUUAUAUUUGAAAAAAACUUAAUAAUAAUUUGCUUCUGCUAUGAAUAUCUUAUUAAGUGAAUGUCUAUUAAAAUCAAGAUAAGUUUUGAUGUAUUUUAAACUCUAAUAGUGAUUAGAAAUAGAUCUCUACUUCAUUUAUACUUCUUAUACCUAAAAAUAGAUAUGCUGAAGAAACAUCGUAAAUAUUUCGAUUGACCAAUAAAAUACGCUCUCUCUUUGCCCUCUCAUUCUCUUCAUUAUUUACUCUCUGUCUAUUUAUUUUAUAAUAUGUUAUCAGUACGAUUCUCUUUUAAUUGUUUUUCUCCAUAAGUCCCAAAAAUAUCCCAAAAUUUACUAUUGUCGAUUCCUCCAAAAGCUACUUCUAUUUCAAUUAAGGUCUACGCACUAUAGAUAAUCAUUAGAACCUUUAACAACUCAGGUACACAUAAAUCUCUAAAAAAAUGUUAUGCCCUUUUAUGCAAAGAAAUCUAUAUAAUUCUUAUGUGGUAUGUUUUUCUCCUUUGUUAAUUGAUUUUUUGGUAAAAUUAUUUUAUGGGAAAAUAUUAUUACUUUAAGGUUUCUUUUAAAUUAAGAUUCUUUUAUUAAAUUAUAGUAUGUAUAAUAUUUAGAAGUUUAAAGAUUUGAUUAUUAAUUUAUUGUUAUUAAAUAUUAUUGUAAUUUGAUUAAAAUUAUGGUGGAAAGUGUUAUUAACCUACCAUAGUUGAUUAAAGGGAAAUUUGAUAGGAUCUAUUGAAUCUUAUUAACUUGCUAAUGUUGAAUGAUUUUAUUAUAUCUUUUAAACUGAAUUUAUAAAUAUUUGAUUAGAAGCUUUAUAAGAUUUUAUAACAUAUAUGUGGUCUUGAAAUUUGGUACAAUGUAUAUCGGAUAACUUUCAAGCAUCGUACACAAAAAUUUUGAUUGUUUAUUAAAUGAUUUCUACUAUUAGAUUAUAAAUGUUAUUACGAAAACAAAGUUGUUUUACUACUUGUAAUAGUGCUCGUGAUAAUAGCCAGGGUGAUGACGAUCAUGUGAAAGAUCUUCAAGUAUAUUUUACUAUGAUUUAUUAUAUCAUGUUUAUUAUAAUUGGAGACUAAUCAUGACAACACGAAUAGAUGGAUUUUAAUUUGAAAUCCACGCAUGUUUGCGAUGGUGAUUAUGAAAUAAAAAAUCUUUGGGAUGUUUAUAAGUUCACCCUAGUAAAUCUAUUGCAUUCCUUGAAGUGAACGCAAGCAUAAAAGAAAAUAAAAAUCAAUAUUAUUCUAGUAUUUGGUAGUACAAAAUUAGUCGAAAGCUCCAAAAGAGCUAAUAUAUUAAUAUAUUGUGAUAGUUAAUCCAUUGAUUUUAAAAGAUAUUCAUAAUGGAUCUCAUAUUGAGAUUGUGAAUGAGGAAAAUAUUAUAUUUUAUAUGAAUCAAAAGAGGAUUGAAUUAUUGAUUACUCUUGUUAUUAAAUUGAAUUUACUGUGACUAUCUUUGUGAUCUUCUUUUGUCAUCAUCCUCAUUAAAGGGUUUGAAAGCAAAAUAUUUGACUGAGAAAGAUCUACUUAUGAGCAAUAGAAUAUGGCAAUUCUAUCUAAACCUCGUUAUGGUUGGAUGCACCUAAAUUUGCAAGUUAUUUUUUAAAAAAAAACUAUGAGUAUAACUCUAUAGUAUUCAAAAUAAGUUCUCAGUUAAAAUUACGUGGAAAAAUAUUACUGAUGAAAACUUGCAAGAGAGAAAACUUAUGUAUGAAAAGUCAUUGGUUAUGUACAUGUUGUACACUUGGAAAAUAAGAUACACUCUCAAAGUUUGCUAUUAAUAGAUUUUGAUUUGAUUCAAAGUCUACUGCUGGAGUUUAAUUUGCUUACUUCUUGAUAAAAUCGUCAAGACUCAAUGCAGGAAAAAAUAUUUUGGCAUAUUCCUUUAAGCGAAUAUUGCAUAUAAUUGUUUGAAAUUUAUAUUUAUUUUGUUGACUUAGUGACAUUAUAGACUUCAUAUUGAUUUAGACGUUUCUAGUAGUAAAUGUCACAAUAAUAUUUAUAUGUGGAUACAAAGUAAAAGGAAUGAUAGUAAGAUUAUCAAUUUGUCACAAUUUAUAUUGACAAUAUUAGUACAAUUGAAAUACAUGUUAAAGUAAACCAGAAGUUUACUAAUACAAAUGCAUUUAAUACUUGGCGUGACCAGUUGGACCAUCUUGAAUCAUAUAUGAUGCGAAAAUUAAUUGAGAAUUCAUAUGUACAUUCAUUAAAAACCAAAAGAUUUUUUUAAUUUAAAGAAUUCUCAUUUGUUGCUUGUUCUCAAUAAAAAUUGCUUAUUAGAAACUCACUAGAUAAAUUUGAUAUUUAAUGUCUUGCAUUUCUAAUUUGAAUAUGGGCUCAUUCAUCCACCAUGUGGAUGGUUUUUAUAUUGUAUGAUUUUGGUAAAUGCAUCUAUAAAUAAUUGCAUAUGUGUUAUCAACUUGCUACAUGUUGCUUGCAAGAUUGUUUGUUUAAAUAAUUAAUUUCAGAUCAUGCAAUUAAUACAAUUCAUCUUGCUAAUACUGAUGAGUUUAUAUCUCAGUCUUUUAUUGAUUGAGUUUGAAAAACUUCUGUAAAAUUUUCUUAUUGAUGCGCAUAAUGAUUUAGAAAAAUUAUUGAUUGAAUGCCUCUGGUUAAUGUCUAAACCAUUACUUAUGAUAACUAAACUUCCUAUUUCAACAUGAGAUUAUGUUGAUUUAUGUGUUGUACGCAUCAAGCCAAUAAGUUAUAAAUACUCUCCAUUACAAUUGAUUUUGGGUCAAGAGCUAUCAUCUUUGAAUUUUUGUAUGUGAGUAUACGUUCCAAUUAGUUCACCACAACAAAAAUGAGUGAAUACUCAAAGAAAGUUGGGAAUAUAUAUUAAUUAUGAGUCUUCUUGUAUUAUUAUGUGUUUUAAUUGUAUUGGAGAUUCAAUUAUAACAUGAUUUGUUAUUACUAUUUUGAUUCUAUAGUUUUCCCAACAUUAGGGGGAGAGAAAUAAUAACUUAUAAUGAGUUAAGGGGGAGUAAUUUGAACUAGAAGUUCAAUUACAAGUUCCAAAUAUGAAAAUUAUCAUAAAAGAAACAAUAAAUCUAGAUGGUCAUAUAGUGAAGGCGGGUGCUCUAGAAGAAACCCAAUACAUAACUAAUACGUAACUCCAGAAGAGAUUUAGGUAGCUGAAACUGAAGAUUAAAAUUGUGAAAAUAAGAUAUCUCGAUAAGUUAUGUCAAUUCAAGAAUAUGUGGAAUUGAUAAUUAAAGUGGCUGGCAAUGGUUUUGAAUGCAAUAUUAUUAUUGAAAUAAUGAAAUAAAAAGAUAAUCUUGAAUAAAUCUAUUGAGAAAUGAAAGUUCGAUCAAGCAACCCGAAAAUGCCAAUAAGGGAGGUGAAUUGGCCUUUAAAAUUUUGGUGAAAGCAAAGGCAAGAAUGAAACAAAGAAUUUAGAGUGGUUCGGCCCCAAUUGCCUACUCCACUACCUUAGCUUUCCACCACUAAGGAUUUUUCCCAAAUUCACAAAUUUGUUCAACCUUUGAGGACAAGGUUUAACCUUACAACUCCUUAAGAUUUUUACCCCAAAUUUUAAGUUUCAAAACCUCUCAAAGAUAUACAAAUAAGCAAACAAAGAAACUAUCCUUACAAGAUAAAUUUAUUUGCAAAUUGAAGCACAAAUACAAUGAGAUACACUUGAGCAAAAGAAAAAAGAUAAGGCUCACAAGUGUAUGUAAGAAUAAUAUGAAAAUUUAAGCUCUAAGAUUGUUUGAUUUAUGAUUUUUUCUUGAAAGUACUUUAUUGGAUGUUGUAGGACUUUAAAAGAUGGUAUUUAUAUCCCCUAAUAGAUUUCCAGCCAUUGAGGUUGUUGGUGAAGAUAAUAUGGUCGUUGGGGAUGUAAAAUCAGUGCAUUUAUUUCACCUACAACUGCGAGUAUCGAUACCUCCAAAAAGGGUAUUGAUAUUCUUUUGUCAUAAAUGCUAAUUUAGUGACAGUUGGAAUGAAAUAAUCGAUACUUCAAAAAUAUUUUAUCGAUACUUCCUAGAAUAGGUAUUGAUACCUGAUCGAUACUUUGUAGGGUUUAUGAGAAAUAGAAUACAAUUUUGGUAUCGUUCUUAAGAAGGGUAUUCAUUAUUUUCAAAAAGUAUCGAUACCGAAAGCAUAGUAUCAAUAAUUUUUAAGGUUUUGAGAGAAUGUCUUUUUGGUCUCGAUUUUUCUAAGGCUAUUGAUUAUUUUCAAAAAGUAUUGAUACUUGGCCAAAUGAUAUCGAUACUUUUUGGCCUGGAGCAAUUCUAACUUGUUUGAAAAUCAUUUUGAUGUGCUAAAAUGAUUUUAACUUAAUUGAGAUCAUUUUGACUUGGUUAAAAACAUUUUCACUUGAUUUUAAAAUUGUUUCAAAAUUUUCUAAGAGUUUAUUGUAAGUAUUCAAAUUUUUAUUUCUUAGAAUUCAAAUUAAAAAUUAUUUUGCCAAACUUAGCUUAUAUUCAAAAACAAUUUUAAUUUAUUAUAUCAAAUUUUUUUAUCAAACAAAGCUUAGUUUAACAAUCUCCCCCUUUUUGAUAUAACAAAAUAUUUGGUAAAUUUAUUUUUGAAUAAUUGUCCCCUUAAUAAAAGACAUUUUAAAUUUGAGGCCAAAAUAAAAUUUGUCAUUCAAGUUGGCAUUCAUUCUUACUUUAAAAAAAAUUUUGGUCACAAAAAUUUGCAUUUAGUUAUCAACAAAGAGUAAUCUCAAUCAAUUUACCCUUUCUUCUCCCCUUUUUUGUUAUAUCAAAACACAAAUAAAGCUUAAAGAGAAAAGAAGUUAGCUCAUCAAAAGAUAGAUAAAGUGAAAUGAGCAUCUAAAAAUAUAUAUCCUAAGAUACAGAUGAAGCAAUAAAGUGCAAUAACAAGUUAUAGGCAUAAGCAUAAAAAUAAAUGUGCAAAUGUUAUGAAAAUGAAAUGUAUAGUCUAGAGCUAGUCUAAUCAUCAUGAUGAGGGAAGAAAGGAGGCUUCAAAGGGGAACGGGCUAAGAGAGAUGCCAUUUGUGUCUCCAAAGUCAAGAGAUGAAAGUUAACAUCUUCCCUAAGACCUUGAAUGUUGUUACUCAAGGAAUGGAUAGCAUCGAGGAUAUCACUAUUAACCUCGGAGGAGGUUGAGCAGUAUGCGACAAAGAAAGUGGUGGAGCAACGGACUCAGGUACUAGAAUAUCGUCAAAGGCAGUGUCGACGUCAUCAUCUUCAUUACCCCUCGGUUGUUCAUGUUUCAUCCAAGUGUUGGUGGCAACAUCGAAAUGAUAUCUCGCAUGAUGUAGAGCCCCAUAACUAAUAGGUUGAUUAGAAGAAACGAAGGUGUCCCCAUGGGUGCUAAUGCCUAAUUGCCUAAGAACAUAUGAAAAAUACGUACCAUGAGGAAGAGUGAUAUUUUUAUUCAUCCCUCUUCCAAUAGCUUUCGUAAUGUCAUUAAAUAAGACAAGUGCAAGGUCAAGGCACCUAUCAGACUUAAAACAAUCGAGCCACCAAUAAUCGGUGUUUUGAAGCUUGGCAUGCUUUUUGAUAGGUCUUAAAGUCCAAGUGAGAAUUAAAUAGAGGACACGAUCAUGGAGAUUGAGUUCGAAUGCCGAUCCGGACUAGAUAAAAAGGGAGGGAUCAAAAUGCCCUUUUUCAUCGGAGGAACCUCCGGAAGGUAAUUGAAGAAAAUUGCAAAACUCUUCGAGAGUCAGACGAAUAGGAGUUCCCAUUAAAAAUGAGGUGAUGGCAAUAACGGUAUCACCGGACUCAUCAUGUUCGAGUUUGGCAUUUGAAAAUAAAGCUCGAACAAGAUUUAAAUAAGUUGGUGAAGAAAUAUUUUAAAAAUCCAUCCACCCCCCAAUUUUGUAAAAUAGAGAGAUAAGAAAAAAUAAUAGCUUCUAACAUGGCUAUAUUAAUUUUCCUAGCCUCAUAUACACGUUUUGAUGCAAAAUACAAGUUAAAAAUAUACCAAGAGUGUGAAUCUUGAAAACAAGUGCUAAACGAUGACUCCAACUCACUAGAUGGGUUAGAAGAAGAUGGACUAGUCCUAGAACGCUUCAUUGGGGCCAUACUAGCUAUUAACCACUUAGAAAAACACUAAAACCAAAAAAAAAAUCUCUUUGAGAAAUUUUGUCGAACACUUGGUGGUUAAAGUUUAAAAAUAAAUUUAAGAAAUAUGUUUUGUAACGCCCUAACUAAUUUAACUUUGUUUCUAUGAACUCUAUCAUAAUUGAGUAUCUGCUUUAGUGGCUAAGUGUUUUGAUUGUGUGUUUGAGGUCUUGGGUUCAAGUCUCACUCUUUGGAAAGUUCUGUUAUUUUUUUUCUAACCUUAUCCUAGGCGGUUUGGCUUAUAUUCUAUUGCUAGUCAAAUUAUAUUAGAAUGACCCUGUUGGUUCGAGUGGUAACAUGUUAGCUUGCCCUGUAGUCUCGUGUUUGAAUCCAUGUUGUAACGUGAAUGAUAAUUUUUGUUGCGGUUGUCUGAUAGAGUUUCGACAGAGUUGAAAUUCUAAGGUAGUUGGAUGUGGAUUGAGGUGUCAAAUUUUAAAGGAUUAGGUUGGUUAGUGGGUUAGUGGGGAGUUGGGGGGAAAUUAGUGAUAUUUUAUUAAUAUUUUUAUUUUAUUUUAUUUUUUCCCAAAAAAAGUUUCCUCUGUUUCUAACGUUCCUCAUUUUUCCCUUCUCUGCAAUUUAUUUUCUUUUUCAUUUCCUUUCAAUUCUGUCCACAACCUUUUAUUCUUAUCGUUGCGUCCAGAUUUUCGGUGUUCUUCAUGCGGUUUUGGUAAGUGGGGUUUCACUCGUCUAUAGGUUUCGGUUUCUGUAAGAUUGUUUGGAUUUAUUCUUUUUAUAAAAGCGUAAUGGUGUAAUUAGAGAAUCUGAUUUGAUUUGAAAAUUGUUAUGUAGGAGAAGGCUGUGAAGUAGUGGGUUUUACUCUAACUGCCUAAAUUGUGUCUGCGGAGGUUUUCGUCGGUGAUAAGUUGGGUGCAUUGUUGGAUUAUUGUUGAUGAAUUCAUAAAUUAAAUUGCUAAAAAGGUGUUUGGUAUAUUGUUUUUAGGGUUCGGCGUUCUCGAGUUCACUGUAGCAUAAAAAACGAACCGAGUGUGUAACAAAAAAGCGAUAAAAUAAAGUUCGAUAAAAGCCGAAAAAGUGGCCUGUCGACACCGCACAGACAUAUGUGAACCCCUCUUGCAUGCGAACUCGUACGUAUAAACCCCUAUUAAGUGAACCCAUAUGUAAAACCAUACGGGAGUGAAUACACGAGCCCUUGGAACAUACAUGCGAACCCUAGUUGUUAUGACAUGCGUACACAUAUUUAUACGAGCCAACUUGUAUAAUUAUGACAUGUGAACUCCCCUUUACAAGCUAUUACUUGUGAGCACCUUACUGCUAAUAUAUGUGAUCUUAUUUGAUUCUAUAUGUGAACCAUGAUAUGUGAACCCUAGAAUUAUGCGAGCCUAUAUGUGGACCCUAGGAUUAGGUGAGCCUAUAUGUAUGUGACCCCUAGAAUUAGGCGAGCCUAUAUGUGAAACCUAGGAACAUGCAAGCCUACAUGCGAACCCUAGGAAAAUAUGAAUCUAUGUGCGAACCCUAGGAACUUGUGAGCCUAUAUGCGAUCCCUAGGUUCAUGCAAGCCUAUAUGCCAUGCGAACCCGAGGUACAUGCGAGCAUAUAUGAUCAUGCGAACUUGUAAAUGUGUUAAAUAAUUAGACUGAUAAUUCACAUAAAAUCCUGUGCAUGUGACACUGUUUUAUUUGUUUACUUGCACUAAUUAUAUGUAAUUGUGUGAUAAUUAGAUAAAUGUAUGCUACAUGCGUUAUAACGCCAAUAUGAAAUAUUGAAGAUAGCAUAAAAUAAGGAUAAAAAGCAUAGAACAUGCUAAUUUUAUGUGCAUAAUUACACAAAAUCUGGGAUGGAGUACGGAGGAGUUCCGUAGGAGACAAUAGCAAAUUAAGUCCACAUCCAAAGUCAGUACUGCGCAAAGUAGGUGACAAUGUCAUCUAAAUCAGACAAGACGAGAUGGUAGAUUAAAAAUACCAUCACAACUUAACCAAACCAGGAUGAUAGUUUAAAAAGUCAUCAAAACCAAGCAAUCGGGAUGGUAAGUUAUUAUAGUAAACGUCACCAUCACAGGCAACAACUGAACAACCAUCAUCACCGAAAAUCAAACCGGGAUGACAAGAUUAUAGUGGGUUUUUGGAGUGUCGAGCAACGCUCGAGGGUGAAUAGGAUGUCAUGUGUCGCGAAACUAACUAAAAAUCUGAUAAGGCAAGUGCAUGUACUAAUUAAUAAUAUAGCUACGGUGAGCAAAGAUACCAUUCCUACGAAGACUAAAAGUAGUAAUAAUUACCGUUUUUCUAUUAUUUAACUAAUAAAUUGAAGUGAUUGAUGAAAACUAAAAUUAACUAAAUUAAUUAACUACGAACACAAAAAAGAAGAAUUCAGGAAAAUAAUCGAUUAACAACAAAGAAACAAAACAAUGCCCAGGAAAGAAUUUACCUACACUUCAUUUGUCACUAUCAAUCUAAAUUACGCAAUUUAUUUACUUAGCAUCUUGAUCCGUGGAAAUCCUUAAAUUAUGCUAAUAUCUCUUUCGAGAGUAAGAGCAACUGACUCUAGGUUGAUUAAUUGAAAUUUCUUUCUAAUUAAAACACUUAUUAUAGCAUUAACUCGAUUUAUGGAUUCCCCUAUCAGAUUUGACUUUAAUCCAGUAGAUAUAUGUCAUCCUAUUUCUAGGAUUGCAUGCAACUUCACUCAAUUACGCUAGAUCUACUCUUAAACAGAGUCUAUUCCUCAUUUGAUUUAAGCGCAUCAAACAUGGUAAAUAUUCUACAAAUAUCAAACCAAGAAUUAAGCAUACAUAAUUGAGAACAAGAUCUAAGUAUUUAUUGCAUAAAAUAAAAAUCAAACGAUAGAAUCCAUCAUAAGGUUCAUCUCCCUAGGUAUUUAGAAAAUUAGUUCAUGCUUGCAAAUAAAAUCAUCCAAGACACGGUAUAAUCAAAAUAAACAAAGAAACUCACGAUAAUCUCCUAAGAAAUCAACUGGGAAUCUUCAAUAUUGAAAGAAAUCUGAUUAAAUGCUAAAAAUGCAUAUUUUAUGUAAUUAAAUUGGUUAAUUUAUGAGAGUGCACCACUGAUUUUUCCAUGUUUAUAUUGAAUUUUAUAUAGGGGUGCAAUUUGGGGUCAAAAGAGAAAAAGGAGAAGCAAUUAGACUAGAUUGAAUAAAGGAGCAAAAAAAGAAGGGCCAAAGCAGAAUUUUUCCAAGAUUUAAUUAGCUGAAAUUUUAUGUUGACUUAGUGGGAGAUUAUGUAGGGAUUUUUAUAUCAUGAAAUAUUUUAUUUCCUUGAUUUUCUAUGGCUAGUGGCUCUUAAUUUGGCAAAGCCACUAGUAUAAAUAGGGGCUACUAUGUUCAUUCAUUCAUCAAGUCAUAAAUCAAGCUUUCAUCUUUGAAUGCAAUCUCUUCUUCAUUCUCACGAAGUUAUUUGUUGUUUUUGGUUUCUUUUUCUUUCAAUUUAUUAACUUUUAGUUUGUCACCAACUUGAACCAUUUACAAUUUCUUUUUCAAACUUCCUUUUCAUUUCCAGUAGCUAGCCAUCCCACUUUAAUACACUACCAAAAUUCCAGCCCCCAUACUUAAUCACGCCACCCAUUCUUUUUACCCAUUUUUACCUUAUUUAAUUUAUCCAACUCCAAUAUGCCCCAAACCUUAGUUAACUAAAUUCAUUUUCAACUUUGUCAGAAUUAGCCUCGUCAAAACCCGUGAGUUACGAACCCGAGCAAUUUAACUCCUAAAUUCCAGUACUUAUUAUUUCUCCAGAUUAAGAGUAUGAUUUUGUCAACUCACAAAGUCAGAUCAACACUAAGUCAAAAAAAGACGUCGUUUGAGUUAGUGUGGUUAGACGUACAGUUGGAAUUCCGAAAGGAUCGAUUGUCUGAUUGGUUUUCCGUGAACACAUUGGCGUGCCAAGUGGGGAUUGCUGUUUGGUUCCGUCAAGGGAAGUAGUAAUCGGAUUUAAGUGUCCCACGCAGUUGAGGGCAUUGGUUCGAGCUAGGCUCUUCUAGAAUGCAAAGCUGCCGGAGUUCUAAAUCACGAACGUUUUGUUGGUUGUUCGAUCGGUAAGGGUUAGUUAUUGGAAGUUCCUUAACUAAUUUACACAAGGAAGAGUUGGUGUCCGAGGCGUCCUUGGUAGCUAUAACUAGCUUAUUGGAAAAGAGGAGUUCAUCUAAUUUCGAGGAUCAGUUCAAAGACGAGGGAAAACCCGUGCCUAAAGUUGAGCUUAGUUUAAUUAAUUUUUCUUCAGAUUUAUUUAACUAUUUUUAUUAUUUUAUUUUCAGCUUUUACUUUUCACGCAUUUUUUUCUAUUUAUUUUAGGUUCUAGGUUUUCAAUUUUAUCCUCCCCCCAAAUUUCUUGGGCACGACAACUGCCCAAACACGAAUCUGGUCGAGAAAGAGAGGAACAAUUCGCAGUAAACCCAGUCUCUGAGGGAUCGACCCUACUCCCUAUACUGUUUAAAUUUGCAAAUUAGGGCGUAGUUUUAUAUUGGUGGAAUCGACAGCCAUCAAAAUCUGCUUCAGAAUCGGUUUCAAUGGUGUUUUUUGAGUUGUUUUCUUGAGUACUCUAUGACGGCUCUCUCCUAUCUUCUUAUUUUUGUCAUAUAUACAUCUUAGAAUAGCUAAAAAAACCUAAAAAUUGUGUUUUCUCGCAGUUCAGAAUGCCAAUUCAUGAAAUCGACAUGACUUGCCACAUUGCAGUGUGGCAGCCCAUGUGUCUUACACGACCGUGUGGAAGGGUUCAACCCAUGUGGCUUCUGUACCUUACUCUAAUUUUCACUCGUUUUUCACUCCUUUUGCUCCCAAAUACUCUCCAAAGCAUAAAAACAUGAAUUUAAAGGAUUAGGAGAAUAAAAUUAACCAUUAACAUUGAAUAAUCACCCAAAAAUGCAUUAAGAAUGAGAUUGAAACAUGUUACUUUUAUCACUUGUCAAGAUGGAUGGGUUGGAACUUAAAUUAUAUGUUGCAUCAUAUAUAAUUGUUAUUCAUUGAUUUAUUAUAUGUUUCAUGAGGAAUGCUUUAAUUUAUAUCGACUUUCAUUUGAGUUAUAGUUGUCAAUUAUAUGGAAUGAUUUAGAAUUUAGUCUCACACUGAGCCGUUUUAUGCUCAUUCCCCCUUUCUUUCCCUCUCAGGUAGCAUAGAGAACCAAGACUCGGAAUGGCAUUGGAAGAACCUCGGAUUAGUAACUCCUUUUUCUUUUUUAUUAUUUUUAAGUUUUUAUUAAAGUUUUCUUUAAUCAUUUUAUUUUCGAGUUGUAAUUAUUUCUCGCUUUUAUAUCUAGGGUAAAAUUGUUUAGCUUUUUUAUUUUAAGGCAUGACACUUAGUUAAUACUCUGAUAUUCACAUGCUUUUCGGUUUAGAAACCAUCACUCUAAAUUUUUUCCACUGCUUUACAAAUACUUAAAGUUUUAAUAAGUCCUUUCUUAAAAACCUUACAUCGUUUUCCAAAAUAUUUACAUUAAUAAUAUUGUAAUUGAAUUUUUAAGUAAAGUUGGUUUAAAUCAAAUGAAUGUUUUCCUAAAAAACAAAAGAGCGACUUUUCAUACAAAUCAACGCAAAUAAAAGAGAGGCUUUUCAGGAUCACCUCAGUGAUCGAAUGUAAUGUCUUCAACUUAGCCAAAACUCCUAAGUCAAGUCGGGGUUGUUACACUAAUCAACCCUCCAAAAAAUAAUCCUUGGAAAAUUGAAGGAUGAAAAAUGAAAUCCCAUGACUUCUUAAAAAACCGAGAAGAAAACUACUUCUAAAUAUCACAAGAAAGCAAUCUUGCACAAAGAAACUAACUCCCAGAGUUAGAAAUUUUAUUAAUGAACAAAAACAAUUGUGUAUCUAAUGAACAAUGAAGAGGCCUUUAUAUAGGCUAGCUAAUUACAUCAAAUAAAACUCUCAAGUAUAACAAACCUCUAAUUAACAUAACAAAGAAGUAGUUUUAAACUAAACUUUUUUGUUUGACUAAGAAAUAUAAAACUCCUAAGCAACUUAAAAUACUUAAAAAAAUCUAAAAUUCGGAAUAAAUAAAUAAUAAAAUAAUAAAACCUAAUCAAUACCAUAUUGCGCUCAUAUAUAAUAAAAACUAAGCUUAAAAAUUGAACCCAAUAUGAUUUAAACUGGAAUUAAAAGCUUGAAAAUCUUAAUUUCCAUAAUAAUCUCGUCCAUGAAUCAAGUGAUUCAAAAUGCGUUUCAAAGCUAAGAGAUAGAUAUUCAAAUUCUAUCAAGAAUCUCAACCAAGAAAUGCCUAAAUAUCAUUCAAAAAGUCAUCACAAGUCAACUAAAUUUCCAAACUUCAAAAUUAGCAGCUUCAGUGAAUGGAAUUUAAUAAAUUUCACCUCAUCCGUGCAUGUAUCAGUUUUCAUAGUAUUUUGAGAGGUAAUUUUAACUUUUAGGUUAGUUUUUAUUACAUUUUAUAGUUUUUCAUAUUAAUUAUAUUUUAUUUGAAUGUUUUUCUUUUUUUUAUCAUUUUUAGAGUUAGUUCAAGUUUACUUGAUAUUUUUCUUUCUCCAUUGUAGGUAUUCGAUGAAGAAUGGAAGACUUGAAUAAAACAAAAAGUGGUGAAGAGAAGCCUUCUGCUCCACCGCCCUCUAUCAAAUCUAAUUCAAUAUGGCGGAGCAUGUUUUAUAUUUGGUGGAGUGGCGCGAUAAAAAAAAAACCCUAAAAAUAAGCGUGGGAAAUUUUAAGAAUGAAAAAGGGAAAGAAAAAGAGAAGAAAUCACUGGGAGGAAAAAAAUUAUCUCACACCAAGGGAAACUUCAAUUUGCAAAGACAAGAAGAAAAGGAGAUCCAAGGAGCUCGAUUCACCUUCUUCAUUUGUUUUCUCUCUAAAUUAUUUCUUUUACUUUUAUUGAAGCAAAUUUGUUUUAAAUUUCUUUGUAUGAUGUUUUCUCAACUCAUGAUGAACCUAACUUUAUUUUCUUGGAACUAUGAUGGAUUUUAUAUCUUAAUUAAUUAUUUUUCUCUUCAAUUGUGUUGCUCAAUGUUAAUUAUUUAUGCAAUUUCGUGUUAAUUUAAUCUCCUAGCUCGACCCCCAAGUUGUAUUAAUUUGUCUUGAAAGAGGAAGUUAGUGUUGAGAUCUAGAUUGAAUAGAUUAAGACUUAACUUUGGUAGCGCUAAUGAACAAGUUAAUUUGUGGCUAGGAUAGGAAUAUACCUUAUGCUCUAAUCAAUCCAAUAGGUUUGUUCUUAAUGACUUAACCCAACUUGCCUAGCAUAGGAAUAUAUUAGGGAUUAACUUAGCUAGAUAAAGGAAGGAUUUAGUUAAUGACAUCGAAUCUUGGGUUAGUAAUUACAUAGAUUGAACAAUUGAAUGAUGUUUAAUUAAAUAAUUAGAUUAGAUGAGGUGAAGUUAGAGUUUAUUUUAUUGAUCUGGAUUAAAUAAAAUUAAAUUGUUUGUAUUUAACAACUUAAAAUUUGAUCCACAUGGGAAUAAUUUCUUCUUAUUACUUUAUUAUAUUGAUAGACCGUAUUACAAAUUUCAAGAAUAAAAAAUAUAAUGAAAAACUAUUGAUAAUAAACUUUAUAAUUAUAAAUAUUAAUGAAUGAUGAAUACUAAUAAAUUAGGAGUACAUGGUUGACACAAAUGAUUAGUCAACCAUUCAUGAAGCAAUUUGGCAUCAAAUUGUAAGAGUAAACCAUUUAAACACCAAAGUUAAAAACAUUAAAAAGAAUUAUAACAUAGUUGUUAUAUUACUAGUGAUUCAAUGACAUGUCAAUGUAAUAUCUAUCAAAUGUUACAAUGUUUAACAUGCUACUGCCAUGCUCACAUAAAAUAAUUAAUUUUUUUACAGUUAGAUAUUAAGAGAAAUAAUAUAUAACAAGUAUUGAUAGUAAAUUUCAUAAUUAUAAAAUGGUAAUGCAUAAUAAAUAAUAUUAUUAGUAAUAAUGUUUAAAAGGUUCAUGGAAAUAUUCCAAUGACAUUAUAAAUUUAUAAAAAUAUUAUAAUAUUCAUAUUUUUAAUUAGAAAAUAUUAUAAAAUUCACAUUUUAAAUAUACAAAAAUGGAGAAAGAUUGUAUAUUUAUUUCCACUUAUACUAAAAUUUAAAUUUUAUGCUAUGUUUUAUAUUAAUAUAAUAUCAUACAACGUAUUUUAAUUAUAUUUUAAUAAAAAUAUUAAAUUAACAUAUUAUAAUUCGAUAAAAUAAAUUGAAAUUAGUAUAUGUAUAUAUGUAAAAGUAAUGUUCAAGCCAUUGGUCCCAUUGACACUAGUCCGAAUUUAAAGCUCUUUUUUUAUAUAUUUUAAAUGAAUGGUCCAAUUUCAUUUUGGUCCCUAUAAUAUGCUCAAAGUUUUAAUUUAACAUUUAUAUUGCAUUCAGAUUAAAAUAUUAACAUACGUAUGUCCAAAUACACAACCUUUUACUUCUUUUUCAAGAAUAUAUAAUAAUGAUCAAAUUUGAGUUUUGAUUCCUAUAUUAUACUCAAAUUUGAAAUUUAAUCUUUAUCCUUAAAUUUUUAACGUAACUUGUUAUCUCAACUUUUAUAAUGUCAUUGUUAAUCUAAAUACUUCAUUUUGAUUAAAAUACUAAUGUACAUGUGUCUACAUGUAGCUUCUUUUUCUUUUUUACUUUUUAUAGAUUAUAUAAUAAUGGUCAAUUUUCAAUUUUAAUCCCUAUACUAAUCUUAAAUUUGAAAAUUAAUCUCUAUAUUUUAGUUUUUGGACAUAACUUGCUACUUCAAUUUUUUUAAUAUCAUUCGUUAGUCUAAAUACCCUAUUCAAAUUAAAACAUGGAGGUAAAUUUUUAAGAAUUGUCAAUGCAGUUAAAGUUCUUUGUUAAAUUUAAGAUAUUAGAUUGUCUUUUUUUUACAUAACUAUCAAAUGAAUAUUUUUAAAAAUUUCAACAUGUCACACCAGCAAAUGUAACAAAAAGAAAUUUAAUGGUAUUAACAAUUGGAGCUAAAUUUUUAAAGUCAAAAAGCAAAGAGACCAAGUUCAUAAAAAAAAUUGAGAUUAAAUUUAAAAUGUAGAACAUAUUUUGAUUAAAAAAAUUAAUUGAAGCAACGUAGUGCGUGGUGGAAACAAUACUAAUAUAUGAUUAUUGGUGAGAAAUCACACGACUAUAAGAUACCAAUCGAAACACAACACAUAAAAAGAAAUAAAGGAAAAAGAAAACCCGAAGCUCAGUACAAUUAUGUGAAGUAGAGGCUUACAAUAAGCAUGAUUUUCCCUCACAUUUGAGAUCACAUAUGGAGAACCAGGAACUAACAAUUUGCAGGAUGAGGAAGCUUGCACAAGCUAGGCAAUUUCAUGGCAAGGUUUGGGUCAAUACCAAGGGAAGGCAAGAGCUUGGAGUUCUUAUAUGAGCAAAGGCAACGCAUGUCAGCGUGGGAGAGGGCGGAGCAGCAAGUUGACGUGGGCGGCGGAGGGUUGGGGGGGGUCACUGCUGGUUUGCAUGCCAUCAAACCUGAAGCUGGCAUGUUGCAAAUGCUUUGAGCAUCAGUUGUAGCGAUCGCCAUAACCAUUACCAUUGCCAAUAUAAGUGCCUGCAGACCC
rnacentral:lncRNA from 1 species